rnacentral:rRNA from 1 species
AUUGAACGCUGGCGGCAUGCUUUACACAUGCAAGUCGAACGGCAGCGCGGGCUUCGGCCUGGCGGCGAGUGGCGAACGGGUGGGUAAUGCAUCGGAACGUGCCCAGUAGUGGGGGAUAGCCCGGCGAAAGCCGGAUUAAUACCGCAUACGACCUGAGGGUGAAAGCGGGGGACCGAAAGGCCUCGCGCUAUUGGAGCGGCCGAUGUCGGAUUAGCUAGUUGGUGGGGUAAAGGCUUACCAAGGCGACGAUCCGUAGCUGGUCUGAGAGGACGACCAGCCACACUGGGACUGAGACACGGCCCAGACUCCUACGGGAGGCAGCAGUGGGGAAUUUUGGACAAUGGGGGCAACCCUGAUCCAGCCAUGCCGCGUGCGAGAAGAAGGCCUUCGGGUUGUAAACCGCUUUUGUUCGGGAAGAAAUCCUCUGGGCUAAUACCCCGGGGGGAUGACGGUACCGGAAGAAUAAGCACCGGCUAACUACGUG